CUACAUCCUCACCUUCUUCCAACCCGAUGAAAGGGCACUGGGCUGGCAGAAUAGACUGGAGAGAGCAAAACGCAUCAGACUGUGAUUUAUAUUCAACUUCAUUGUUUCUUCAGGUCAAAGUGGGCACGGCCUUGGUUGUCCUAGAACUUACUCUGUAGACCAAGAUGACCUUGAACUAGGAUCCCCCACUCUCUGCUUCCUGAAUGCUGAGAUCAAAGGCUUAUAAGGAGCGAUGCUACCUGUGGCGUCAGUAUUGUGUUCAGACACGCAGAAAACUCGAGGCCCCAAAAUAAUCCAACAUUUAAUCAACAGCUGAAAAGUUUUUGCACAGUCGACGGUUUACAUUUUAGCAUGGCCACUCCUUCCAACAAGAAAAUUUCCCCAUAUUUGGCGGAUGCGGUGUACGAACUCAGCCUCUGCUUCUCUUUGAUGGACAAGGAGAGCAGCUGGUAACCGUCACGGUGUCACAUAGCUUCAAAGCUGGAUGACUGACCUUAGGUUGCCUCUCUUCUCUUUUCCAAGUGCUCCCAAUCUCUUCAACCCUUUCACUGUAGUUCAGUUUGCUGUUUUCUCUGUCUCUGACUCUACCAAAAUUGAGGAGCUCCAAACUGAAAAGUAUUUUCUUGUUAUAACACAACUAGUACCAAAUAUGGAAAAUACCAUCUAUUUGUCUAUCUGCUCAUCGGCUAAGUGAUCAUGGAGAGUCUCUCUCCCACCCCUCUACAUCAGAGAAGUCAGGUGCAUCUUGCCAAUAAAGUUGUUGGAUUUCAGAGAACAUGAGGCAAGGUUUGUCAUAAAACCAUGACAUCAGUAGUGAAAGAGUUUCUCAGAUGGGAGGAGGGUCGAAGGCCAAGAAAUAAGCAAUGGGCUGUCAGCUAGCUAAACCAUCAUCUAUGAAACCUAGUUUUGCCUUUUUAUGCACUUCUUAUCAAGAAAUCCUGCCUCCCUAUGUGCCUGUGCAUAUGCAUGGGCAUAUAUGUAUGUGUUCAUGUGUACAUGCAUGUGUGUAUUCAUUUGAGGUAUUUCCUUAUCUUUUGUUAAUCAUAAACAAAAAAACUCUGUGUGUGUGUGUGUGUGUGUGUGUGUGUGUGUGUGUGUGUGUAGGAAGAUCAAGUCAGCCUUGGGUGUCCGUCCUUACAUCUGCCUUGAGACAGAGUCUUGUUUUCUGCUAUGUACUUCCAGCUGCCCAGGAUCAAGGAUUUCUUUCUCUCCAUCCCUUUACUCACUAUAGAGGCACUGGAUUACAGAGCGGAGUGGGUUUGGGGGAGUCCAAUAUCAGGACCUCCCAUCUGAUGGGAAGCCAUUUACUCACUGAGCUGCCUUCUCUGCCCCUCUUU